UCAUUUUGGUGUUUAAGCUUAGAGCGUAUACGGCAGGACAAAAGGAGUUUUUGUAUGAACUAAGAUGGCAAUAUAUGUUAGUUGUAGGGAAAAUAGAUAAAUGUAUGUUGGGAACAUUUUUAUAGCAGUAGUUUUCAAAAAGUUCAGACAAUUUUCCGCUAAAAUGCCCCCUAAAUUGACAAAAUGCUCCCAAACACCGUCUAGCGGUAACGGAAAUUUAAGUUUUGUAAACAAACUUUAAUUUUAGAAACACAUGUUACAUGUGCAAACAAGGGCGGUUAAAAUGUUUAAAUUUAAACUUCUACAGAAAAUUGACUUUACUUAUCUUGACCACCAAACAGUUUGUCCAAGGAAUUUUAAAAUGAGUUAUUGAUUGGUGUUGGUGAAGUAAAGGCCAUUUAACGUAAAAUUAUUAUUUACAUUUUUUGUGAACCAGUAUUUAUGUCACAAUGGUUACAAAUUAACAAUCGUAUUAAGGAAAAGUGACAAUUUAUUCAAAGGCCGUAAGUUUUAUUCAAAGUAGUAAUAACUCCUAACGAUGCGUGAUGAUUCAUACAUCCUGCUUACAUCAUAAUACUGCAGUGUGAUGCAGCUUACUCAUUCAUAUAUAUGUGUGGUGUCACUGCGUGGGGGUUAAUGUGAAUUAUACAAUGAUGUGUAUGCAUUGUACUGCUGUUGGUUGUACUGGGAGCUCAGAAGUUAUAAUAUCAAAAAUAUGAAGUUAAAUAUUGAGAUUUUAAUUGUGCUUGUGUUAAUAUUUUGUAUUGAUGCGUCAAUUUCAAAGUUACAAGCAUUUGACACAGCUUGGUGCGAAGUAACAAGUUUACGAGGAGCUUCUUAUGACAGUUUUGUUAAAUUUAACUCAACAUAUGAAUCUUGUGUGACGUGUGGUAACGUGACAGCUGUUUACAAUCGCUCCUGGCUUCCUGCGAUGUCUUGCUGUGGUGGGACUUUACAGCGAAGUGAAAAUUGCCAUUCAAGUUUAGAAGCCACAUGUGAUACCACGAGGGCAAUCCGGGAAACCUCGUUGUGUGAUGGAAUAAAGGAUUGUUUAGAUGGAAGAGAUGAAGCUUUGUGUACGAGCUGCAGUGGACAAGAACGAGACAAAUUCCGAUGCAGUCACUUUCAGUGUGUCGAACUGCAUCAACUUUGUGAUGGAAAAAAAGAUUGUUUUAACGGCCUCGAUGAGACUUUCUGUUUGUAUUCAUAUGGGUUUUGUGCUGGCUUCCGUUGUAUUAGUGAAGUUAUUGUAAGUGAAGUCAGUUAUAAAAUUGAAAGCUGUAUUGAAGCAAAACAAGUAUGUGAUGCAAAGAAAGACUGUUUGAAUGGUUUAGAUGAAUUGAAUUGUGUUCAAUUUACUCAAAGUGGUUUUCAAUGUUCCAAUACAUCAACAAUACCUGCUCAACAGGUUUGUGAUGGAACAAUGCAAUGCGAUUCUAAACAAGACGAGAACAACUGUUACCAGUGGAGCCAAUGGGGCAGAUGGUCACAGUGCAAAAACGAUGGUGUUUCAAAUCAUACAAAAAGUUAUAAAGAACGGAAAAGGAAAUGUGUGAGUCCUUAUACAGGAUAUCGGCAGAAAUGUGUGGGUGAACAGUACAAUAGAUGGGAUGUUUCAUGUACUGUAAAUCAUACAGUAACAACUGCUAGCACUACAACUGUAGUAAGCACACAUAGGGGACUUAGUAAUACUAUUAAAGCCAUCAUAUCACUCAGUACUCUGUUGGGGGUGAUUGUUAUACUUGGAGGGUUAUAUUUUAUAAUUUCAACUUUACGUCGGCAACAUUAUCGUCGUAAAUACCCCCUGCCGCACGUCGAGUAUGCACCGUCAGUGGAACUGGACAGCCAUGUCAGUGAAAUCUCCAACUCACAAGUUCAGUAUCGAGAUUCUGGGGCCAAUUUUAGAACCAGUUGGUUUCCGCAAAACUCAAUGAAGCCAUCUCCGUCUAUCGUGCUUGUAUCCGCAGAACGGGAGGUUGUGUUAAACCCUUUGUACCAUAUAGAACCUAAACCUAACAACUCAAUGAGUUUGCUACAACCUGUGAUAAAGAGAUUGUCGUCAGCAAGCCAUGACAGUCAGGAUAUCAAGCAACUAAAUAGGCUUGGUAAGGUGGACGCACAAACUGAUAGUUUGUUGAUGGAUGUGGAAGAUAUUGAACAAUUCAAUGGAAAACUCGUGAUUGUUCAAACUGACAACUCUAUUAAAGUGUUGACCAAAGAAAAUGUGGAUAAAUAAAUUAAUAUAAAUCAGUUGAGAUUGAAAUAAUAAAUGCUCUUAUAAUUCUUGCAUUAAUAUAGUGAAGAAUGCAUGUUUGUAUCAUUAUUACGCCAAUCACUUUUUACUUUUAUUACAAUAUCAGAUAUAUUAAAUAGCUCUUUAUUUGAGCAACCUCUCAUUAAAGCUUAAUUACAAAUGCAUAGAAUGACAAAUGGCCAUAUAAAUGUUAAAUUCAAUGUUUAAAAGUUUUAAAGCCCCACUGUAUGUUACAUUGUAGAUGAAACAGACAUUGUAUUUAUAUAUACCGCACACCAACAUACUUACACAACAUUUCACUAUAUUUUCAGUAAUUUGAAAUUUUAUUAUUUUCUUUUUGAUAGAGGAAGCAUAGGUUGUUAAAAACAUGUUUGUUUCUUGGGAAAGCAUUGGAGGAUAUUUGCUCAUAUUUGGUGGAUUGAAUGUGGUUGUGUUAACCAUUUUCAUCAUACUUGCAACUCAUUAUAAAUUCUCCAAACCAAAUGCCACCAAUAGUAAAGAAAAUGCUCCUGAAAAAGAAGUAAAGGAAAAAAAUGAGAUUUGUGAGAAUGAGAAAAAGGAAGAAAAAGAAGCAAGUAAAAAAGGGGAAAAGAAAAGGGAAGAAAGAGAAGAUAACGAAAAUGAAGGAAGAGAAAAAAGAAGAGAGAGAAGCAGAUGAAAAAGAAGAAGAUUCUUCGAAGGGAGUUGAAAAAGAAGUUGCUUCACUUGCACGCUUAUGUGGCUACUCUGCUGGCCACAUGAAAGAGUUAUCACAAUGCGCUUUAUUUUUCCAAAAGUUUAGUGAAGAACAAGAUAAAAUAACUUUUGGUCGAAACAGGAACCAACAACAGAAUGAUAUUUCCUCUCCAGAUGCGGGGAAUAAUGUUGAUCAUCCAGAUAUUGACGAGGAGGAAGAAGUUGAUAUAUCGGAUCUUGAUGUUGAUGACAUCAGCAUUGAGGAAGAUAAUGAUGAUUGUGACAUCAGCGCUGAGGCGAUGGCCGAUAUAGAAGCGGAGAUGAUGAACUCCAGCAUUAUAAUGGCUCCAACUUCGGAAGAGGAAAACACUUCUAAAGAGAGUAACCUCGCACCAGAGAAAAAUGUGGAAAAAGUUUCAAACAUUUUGGAAAAA